AUAGAUGUUGUGCCUACCGUACAGUAUCCUAGCUAACGCGUAAGUAUCGCCUGGGGAGUACGCUGCAGGGUGAACUCAAAGAUUGACGGGGCCCGCACCAAGCGGUGGAGCAUGUGGUUUAAUCGAUGCAACGCGAAGAACCCUUACCAGGGCUUGACAUACUACAAAUUCUUUUGAGAAAAAGAAGUGCCUUCGGGAAUGUAGAUACAGGUGGUGCAUGGCUGUCGUCAGCUCGUGUCGUGAGAUGUUGGGUUAAGUCCCGCAACGAGCGCAACCCUUAUUUUUAGUUACUAAUUCGUUAGGUUCUCUAGAAAGACUGCCGGUGACAAACCGGAGGAAGGUGAGGAUGACGUCAAGUCAGCAUGCCCCUUAUAUCCUGGGCUACACACGUGCUACAAUGGUUAAGACAAAGAGUCGCGAGCUUGUGAAAGUCAGCUAAUCUCAUAAACUUAGCCUAAGUUCAGAUUGUAGGCUGCAACUCGCCUACAUGAAGUUGGAAUCGCUAGUAAUCGCUGGUCAGCCAUACAGCGGUGAAUCCGUUCCCGGGCCUUGUACACACCGCCCGUCACACCAUGGGAGCUGGUCAUACCCGAAACCGUUUGCUUAACCAUUUGGAGAGCGGCGUCUAAGGUAGGGCUAGUGACUGGGGUGAAGUCGUAACAAGGUAA
rnacentral:rRNA from 1 species